rnacentral:rRNA from 1 species
AUUGAACGCUGGCGGCAUGCCUUACACAUGCAAGUCGAACGGCAGCACGGGAGCAAUCCUGGUGGCGAGUGGCGAACGGGUGAGUAAUAUAUCGGAACGUGCCCAGUCGUGGGGGAUAACGUAGCGAAAGCUACGCUAAUACCGCAUACGAUCUACGGAUGAAAGCGGGGGAUCGCAAGACCUCGCGCGAUUGGAGCGGCCGAUAUCAGAUUAGCUAGUUGGUGGGGUAAAAGCUCACCAAGGCGACGAUCUGUAGCUGGUCUGAGAGGAUGAUCAGCCACACUGGGACUGAGACACGGCCCAGACUCCUACGGGAGGCAGCAGUGAGGAAUAUUGGACAAUGGGCGCAAGCCUGAUCCAGCAAUGCCGCGUGCAGGAUGAAGGCCUUCGGGUUGUAAACUGCUUUGUUACGGAACGAAACGGUAGGAGCUCUAAUAAAGACUUGCUAAUGACGGUACCGUAAGAAUAAGACACCGGUAC